ensembl:lincRNA
CUAAAGUAUCAGGGGUGGCAGAGUGGAGGAGGAGGCAUCUGAGCUAGCUCUAGACUCUGAAACAUGACCGCUCUGGAGUAGUUCCUCCAUCCACAAAUUAUGCAGUCGAGUUUCCUCGAAUUAGGGGUCAAUACACACAGAGUGCAAUGGAUGAACCUCGCUCUGGAGAAAUCACCUGCAUAAUCAUGGUAUUUCCCCUUCCAGGAUUCUGUGCAAUGACAAGACCAAGACUGAGCCAUACGUGGUGUUGGAUGCUCCCAUGUAAGGGCAUGGCGGGGGCCAGAAGCUGAUUCCACAAAAGGCCAGACAAAUCCAAAAUG